rnacentral:sRNA from 1 species
AUUAAUGAAUCUCAGACUAAAAGCGCCACGUCCUGUGGCAACGUCUGAUUGACCCACAUCCUGUGGG